CCGGGUCCGCUGGACCCUUGCGGAGUCUGUCGGAGGCGGGCUCAAGUUCAGGGCUGGGGACCCAGACCGAGACGCGGGGAUCCAGAAAGCUGGGGAGACGCGCUGGUGGCCUGGGGCGGAGGGCUUGGGUGGGAGUAGAGGUUACACACACACACACACACACACACACACACACACACACACACACACACACACACACGAACACACGAACACACCCGUGAAAGGGCUGAAUGAUCUGGGCGAUUGAAGCUGGCUCCGCACCCCCGCACUUCCGGGAGACAGAGCGACGCGGGUUAAUAUGGUUGUGUUCGCCCCGGGUGCGGGAGCGGCAAGUGGGUUGAAGUUGAGCGGGUUUGAGAGUGGCCCUCCCACGCCGAGUGCGCAUGGAAGUUUAGUUUCGGAGAAGGAUCUGCGCCGCAGUGUGCUGUGCUGGAAACCAGAGAUUUGCUGUGCUCGGAAUGAAUUCACCAGGGUCCCCGGCACAACACUUCAUUUUCUGGGGACGUGCCGGGAGGGGUUCGCUUUACCUCGGAGGGACCCCCUUCUAGGUGUGAAAGAUGCCACCCCGGCUCCUUGGGGUAUGGAAAGCAACAUAUAAAGGUUCGAAACUCAGGAAACCCCAGCGCUCGCCUGCACUAGCACAUACACACAGCCCCGCGCACACUCAGUUCGCGCCCGCCCUUCCUCCCUCCCUGAUUUGCUUCUGGGAAAACAAGCCUUGAGAGCUGCGGACUCGCCCCGAGUCACGGUGCUUAAGCAGGAGUCCCUGGUAGAAAGACUGAAAAAUCCCCUCCCCGCUCGAUGGUGGAUUCAUAUCCUGUGCGGCCUCUAGGAAGCGCUAGACACAUGCUUGCUUCAGAAAGUCACACAUCUUCCCAUGUCACCUGACAAUACAAGGGACUUCAAGGACAUACAGAAGAACAGAGUCCUUGGUCUCUGAAUGACCCUGUGGAAGGAUACUCACUG
rnacentral:lncRNA from 1 species